GACGAACGCUGGCGGCGUGCCUAAUACAUGCAAGUUGAGCGCUGAAGGUUGGUACUUGUACCGACUGGAUGAGCAGCGAACGGGUGAGUAACGCGUGGGGAAUCUGCCUUUGAGCGGGGGACAACAUUUGGAAACGAAUGCUAAUACCGCAUAAAAACUUUAAACACAAGUUUUAAGUUUGAAAGAUGCAAUUGCAUCACUCAAAGAUGAUCCCGCGUUGUAUUAGCUAGUUGGUGAGGUAAAGGCUCACCAAGGCGAUGAUACAUAGACGACCUGAGAGGGUGAUCGGCCACAUUGGGACUGAGACACGGCCCAAACUCCUACGGGAGGCAGCAGUAGGGAAUCUUCGGCAAUGGACGAAAGUCUGACCGAGCAACGCCGCGUGAGUGAAGAAGGUUUUCGGAUCGUAAAACUCUGUUGGUAGAGAAGAACGUUGGUGAGAGUGGAAAGCUCAUCAAGUGACGGUAACUACCCAGAAAGGGACGGCUAACUACGUG
rnacentral:rRNA from 1 species